GGAGCCAAGGCUUACCCACUGACACACAUUAUUACACACACACACACACACACAGAGAGAGAGAGAGAGCAAUGCAGUGUCGGAGGCUUCCUAUUGGACGAUGUCCACAAACCCUUGAUUGACAGUCCAGUGGGCGGGGUCUAGCCUGCAGGUGGAGGUGGUGAUGUCUAAGCGAGGUGGGGGAGGAACAGGGGGGCGAGGAAAAGGGGAGCGACCAGACGCCAUGGCGACCCUUCAAGCAGCCAAUGAGGAGCUGAGAGCCAAACUGACCGAAAUCCAGAUAGAACUGCAGCAGGAGAAGAACAAGGUGAGUCGUCUGGAGCGGGAGAAAGCUCAGGAGCUGAAGGCGGAGCAUCACCGGGCGUCGGCGGCUAUGACGACGCUGAAGACCAAACUCCAUGAGGAGAAGCAGAAGGAACUGGCCGUUACCAGGGAAACGUUACUGCGGCAACAUGAGAUGGAGCUGAUGCGGGUCAUCAAGAUUAAAGAUGAGGAGAUCCAGCGUCUUGCCCACAGGGGCGGCGCUACCGAGAAGGCAAGGAGCCCUCUAGUGGCGGAGGCAGAGGAAGCGAGGCGGGGCUGGGAGGUGGAGAGAUGUCGCCUUCAGCAGGAAGUCCAGGAGCUGCGCAGAGCAAAGAAGUCGAUGGAGGACGUUCUGACAUCAUCGCAGCAGGCAUGUCAGGCCCGAGCGGCCGAGCUACGAUCUGCCCACCACCACCACCAGGAGGAGCUCAACCGCACUAAGAGGGACUGCGAGAGGGAAGUGCGCCGUCUGAUGGACGAGAUCAAGCUGAAGGACAGAGCAGUCAGUGUUUUGGACAAAGCUCUGGGGCUUCAGGCUGGCCACGCCCACCGUCUCCAGCUGCAGACUCAGGCGGCCGAGCAGCAAAUCGCAGCGCUCAGAGACGCUCAGAAGACGGGGACUAACACUAGCCCUAACUCAACCCCUAACACCCCCUCCCACAUUUCCCAGGAGGAGCGGGACACUCGUAGGUUUCAGCUGAAAAUCGCUGAACUCAGUUCUGUUGUUAGGAAACUGGAGGAUCGAAACGCUCUGCUGUCAGAAGAACGCAACGAACUGCUGAAGCGCCUGCGGGAGGCAGAGUCUCAGUUUCUUCCUCUGCUGGACAAAAACAAGCGUCUGAGCAGAAAAAACGAGGAGCUAGCGCUCUCUCUGCGCCGUCUGGACAACAAAUUGCGCUUUGUCACACAGGAGAAUCUGGAGAUGGUAACUAUGAGAAGGCCCAGUUCCCUCAAUGACCUGGACAACAGUUGCCAUGGUUACCACCAAGAGGCUGGAGAGAUGGAAUUUCUACGGUUACAAGUGAUGGAGCAGCAGCACGUCAUCGACGACCUUUCAAAGGCUCUUGAAACAGCAGGUUAUGUAAAGAAUGUAAUAGAGAGAGACAUGUUGCUCAGAUACAGACGACAGGAAACAGUGAGAAGAAAAAGAACCUUCAGAGCCUGCAGAGUCAUAGAGACCUUCUAUGGUUAUGAUGAAGAAGUGGACUCUGACGGAUCGUCGUUGUCUUUUCACACGGACAGAACUCCGGACACUGAACCAGAAGAGGGAUGCGUGCGUGAGGAGGCGGAGCUACGAUACCGUCAGCUGACUCAGGAAUAUCAGGCGCUGCAGCGAGCGUACGCUCUUCUGACAGAGACCUGUGGAGGAAACUAUGAUGCUGAGAAGGAGAUCAAGACCAGAGAACAACUGCUGAGUGAAAUAAGUCAGUACCAAACCAGAGUCACUGACCUGGAGUCAGCACUGAAACAGCAAGGACUGGACGUCCUGUGGGUGGAGGAGAAACAACGUUUGUAUCAGAGGAACCAGGAGUUGGUGGAGAAGCUGCGUCAGAUGGAUAGUGAGGAGCUGCGUCUGAGGAACGAGAUCCAGGACAUCAGAGACCAGAAUGAGCUGCUGGAGUUCAGGAUCUUGGAGCUGGAGGAGCGGGAGCGACGAUCACCCGGAAUCAACUUCCAGCAACUGCAUUUCCCAGAAGGCCUCAGUCCCCUGCAGGUGUACUGUGAGGCGGAGGGUGCGACUGACAUUGUCAUCAGUGAACUGAUGAAGAAGCUGGACAUCCUGGGAGAUAACGCCGUAAGUAACCUGUCCAAUGACGAGCAGGUGGUGGUGAUUCACGCCAGGACUGUACUGACAAUGGCUGAGAAGUGGUUGGAGUCCAUUGAAGUGACCAAGUCUGCUCUGCAGCAGAAGAUGUUGGACAUAGAGACAGAAGAGGAUCUGUUCCGUAAACAGAAGGGUUACCUGGACGAGGAGCUGGACUACAGGAAACAGUCCAUGGACCAGGCCCACAAGAGGAUCCUGGAGCUGGAGGCCAUGCUCUACGAGGCGCUGCAGCUAGAGGCGGAGUCUAUCAAGGCGGGGCUAGGGGUGGACGAGCGCAGACUGUGUGAAACUCUAUCAGAGGAGGAGAGGGAGGGGCUGAGGAGAUCCAUGGACCAAUGGAAACGCAGUGUGAUGUGCGAGCUGCGGGAGAGAGACGCCCAGAUCCUGAGAGAGAGGAUGGAGCUGCUGCAGCUCACACAGCAGAGAAACAAAGACCUGGAGGAGUUCAUCGAAACACAGAAACGACAGAUCAAAGAGCUGGAGGAGAAGUUCCUCUUCCUCUUCCUCUUCUUCUCUCUGGCCUUCAUCCUCUGGUCGUAGCAGUGUCUCCAGGCGACCACAAGGGGGCGAGUCCAGAAGAUCAGCUCACUGGUGUCACUGCCCCACUCAACGGCCAAUCAGAGCAGGACUCAGCCAUCAGCUGACUCUACACAGGCCGAGCCCACUGGAACUGUUUACAUAACAACAGAAUUUAAUUUACAACAAGUACAACCACCAGAGGCAGGCUGUACAGUUAACCUGCUGCUAACAGCUUCCUGUUAGCCUGUCGCUAACAGUAUACCAGGUUGGCUGUCUUGGCUAACCUGAAGAACAGUGACUGGGUGCUUUCUCUCUCUCUCUGCCUCUCAGUGUUCUCUAUAUGACAGGUGACAUCACAGGUGACAUCACAGGUGACAUCACAGGUGACAUCACAGGUGACAUCACAGGUGACAUCACAGGUGACAUCACCUGAGGAACGACCAGAUUUAGUUGAAUGACUUUUUCUCUGAUUGGCUGAUUUUUUCCUUUUUUUUUGCCUGCAAUGUUUUCCUUUAGUCACAGAACUUGGAUUAGCGUU